CUCGUCACGCGCGGUACGCACGCUCUGUCGUGAGCUUUCGAAUUAAAACUAACUUCCGCCUGGAUAAGGCCAAAUAUCGCUUUCCGUUUAUGCAUCAGUCAACUGACCUUGAUGAUAAACUUGUCUCGAGUUCUGAAAAUCAAUGUUCCAAUACUUCCAUAUCAAUUAAAAUAGUUUACUGAUCCUUCGAGUAAAUGACAUUCGAGUGCAGUCUCAAUGCAAGGCUUGUGAGCAUAAAAACACAUUUUAAUUUGAACGAGUCUUCGAAACACUUGCAUGAUUGAUUAAUCAUGAAUCACGAAAUUUCUGUCAGCGUCAAUCAAACAUUCAUUUUGUGAUAUUCAAGUGAUCUCGUGAUUUUCGUGAUGUGCUUUAUCUUUUGUUCAAUCUCGUUUGCGCAAGAAAACCAAUAAAGGCUGGAUUAUCACGCUCAUCGUAAAAAGACGCUAAUUUUUUCCGGCAUGCAAACCCCAUGAGGAAGAGUUCACUGGCAUCGGAUUCACUGACAGCUCAGACGCAGUUAUGAACGAAUUCACUUUCACGAUUUUCGAACUGUAAUACCGCAGGAUGAAUGCUACGUGGUCGUCGGACGAUGGAGAUCCCGAAACAUUUUCUCUGGCGAUGCUCAACGCGACGUACUGGCUCAGCAAUAUCAUUGACAACAAUACGUUGAUUUACGACGAAUACGAUGACCUGUAUGACGUUCCAGCAGGAAUCAUUGUACUUUUGAGUCUAUGCUACGGCAGCAUAUCGAUUCUCGCUGUCGUUGGCAAUUUCCUUGUCAUGUGGAUCGUUGCUACUUCACGACGAAUGCAGAGCGUUACUAAUUGUUUCAUCGCUAAUCUCGCAUUGGCUGACAUCGUAAUCGGCUUAUUCGCCAUUCCGUUUCAGUUCCAGGCUGCCCUGCUGCAACGGUGGAAUUUGCCCCACUUCAUGUGCGCGUUUUGCCCGUUUGUCCAAAUAUUGUGUGUCAACGUAUCGGUUUUUACGCUCACUGCAAUCGCUGUCGACCGUCAUCGGGCAAUUUUGAAACCACUGAGUGCUAGACCAAGCAAGCUCAGAGCCAAGAUCGUGAUAGCAGGAAUCUGGCUAAUUUCCGGUGCACUCGCCACCCCCAUGGCAGCAGCUCUGAGGGUCGUCAUGGUUCCGGAAAGUACGACCGCUGGCCGUUUGCACCUAAAGCCAUUUUGCCAGAACGAGAACAUGUCCGAAAGAUCGAUGCUGACGUACCGAGCUCUGCUGGGAUUUCUGCAAUAUCUCACACCACUUUCGGUAAUAUCAUGCGUGUACGCGCGUAUGGCUCUGAGAUUGUGGGGUAGCCGAGCACCCGGCAACGCACAGGACUCGAGGGACGCGAAUCUCAUGAAAAAUAAAAAAAAGGUGAUUAAAAUGUUGGUCAUAGUCGUUGCACUGUUCGCGAUCUGUUGGCUACCGCUCCAGAUGUACAACGUGCUUCAGUACACCUAUCCACAGAUCAACGAAUAUCGGUACAUCAACAUAAUUUGGUUUUGUUGCGACUGGCUCGCGAUGUCCAACAGCUGCUACAAUCCUUUCAUCUACGGGAUUUAUAACGAGAAAUUCAAGAGAGAAUUUCAGCAGAGGUUUCCCUUCAGAUCUCGAAAGUGGUCCUCGAGCCCGGCAACGGACAGCCUCGACAUGGAGAAGACCCAGAGCACGAGAGCAUCGUUUAGGUAUAUUCUCAGGUGCUCUUCAAAACUCAUCACAAUACCGUACGAUUGGCGAAGACCGGCUUCAGGGGGUUGUCCGGCGGCUGCUUCCUUCUACCGAGGAGUUUCACUGCGAGAGCCAAGCCGAACUUCGAUAAACGGUGACGAUCCGAAAGCUCGAGGCUUGACGACGGCAGGAUGUUGCAUUGGAAACGGGCAUGGGAAUCAGCCAGCCGCUGUAAAUAACAGAACGGGGAGUAAAAAAAGCAAGGAAAUUUGCUCGGCUGAGUUGUACGUAUUUUCGUCCGGUAGACACAAACGUUCUCGAGAACUCGGCGAUCAAGAGCUUUGUCUCUAAAUCCACGAACGUGACAACGAAUACGAUCGAUUUAUUUAUUUUUUCUUCUCCUUACUCUGCUCAUCUCGGUUCUUCACACUAUUAUUAACGUGUCCGGAUGAAACUGCCGAGAACACUGUCACGCUCAGUGAACGAGCACGUUCGAUUUAACGUCCCUCACGUCUUGGGCGAAGGGGAUGACGAGUCGCGGAAGUGCACGGUCUGGAAAAAAGAAAGGAACAAUAAACAACCAAGCGAGGAGAAAAAUAGUGUGCGCUGAUCGAAUUCACGGGAAAUAAAAUAACGGGAAAUUCGUCCUCUUUAUUUACCCCCUGGAUCAACCUUCGAGCCACGUCUCACUCUCCAGCAUCCACUCGUGUCUGACAGCAAUAAAGAGCUUUAGUGGUUUAUAGUUGUACGAAACUUCAAGUGGAGAGCCGACGCACAACAUCGCGAUGAGGCAAUCUCUUUCGUCUCCCUCGUCGUAACUCGUGCCGCAAUGACUCCGUGAGAAAUGAACGCCAUCAGACCGGGUCUACCUGACCAAUGUCCACCGAGGAAAUCUCAACCAAUUUCAAGUAAACUCUGGCUUCGUACUUCCGGGUUCAUUGGACCCAAGCGAGAAUCGAUCGAGGGCUGGAACUUUUUGCCCGUCAAUUUGGGAGGCCCCAGGAGGUUCAGGAUGAAUUAAAUCGAGCCUUUUCUAUUGAGCAGACCAAAAAGCAAUCUUCGUUUGCUUAGGUCAUGAGUGCCGGAAUUAAAAACGACGUGGUAUGAAGAAUUACAGUUUGAAUUUAGGCUUGAGGAAGAAAACAGUUGGAAGCGCGGUCGUUUAUCAUUGUACAUAAUAGUUUAUAAUUUUUAUUUCUAAUGACUAUAGUGAAAUAGCUCGAAUGGAAGAGUGCCAACUCGAUUACGAAAGGCGAAUGAAAACGAAAAACGAAGAAAAAAAAACAAUGAAGCUUCGAAUAAAUUCUUAUUCAUUUUUUAACGAGUAUUAUGCGUCCUCGGAACGUGUAAGAUCCUUCCAUAACUACAGAGCGUACAAAAAAAACGGUAUUCGCUCUUACAUUUGCGUCGAUUUGAAAGACGCUGUAAAAAGUGAUUUUUUGUGUGUAAGCAUGAACAAUGAAAUAAUUGAGAAACUAUUUUUAAUGUUAUACUGUAAUCAAUGUAAAUAAUUCAAUGUACAUUUAAGCAUAUAAUUCGUGUUUCGCCGUAAUGAAUAAUUACCUUGUUGAAUAAACAAACCCAAAGCAAUAUGAAA
rnacentral:misc_RNA from 1 species